AAAACCGCCCUUUUCAGGGCGAUAAAAAUAAUUUAUAAAGAGUUUU
rfam:Lutzomyia longipalpis Contig11726, whole genome shotgun sequence.